rnacentral:rRNA from 1 species
GACGAACCGUGCGAACGUUGUUCGGAAUCACUGGGCUUAAAGGGCGCGUAGGCGGGCUCGCAAGUCAGGGGUGAAAUCCCACGGCUCAACCGUGGAAGUGCCUUUGAUACUGCGGGCCUUGAGGUAGGUAGGGGAGAUCGGAAUUCCUGGUGUAGCGGUGAAAUGCGCAGAUAUCAGGAGGAACACCGGUGGCGAAGGCGGAUCUCUGGGCCUUACCUGACGCUGAGGCGCGAAAGCUAGGGGAGCGAACAGG